rnacentral:rRNA from 1 species
UUGAAAGGGAAACGAUUGAAGUCAGUCAUACCAACGGGAAAUCAACCUUUUGAGCUUGGUCUCGUGGGUUUUGAAGAGUUUCAAAGCCUUCGGAUUCGCGGGAUUGGGAUCUCUCGGUGUACUUUUUCGUACGGUUAGUCAACAUCGGUUUUGAAUGUCAUAAAAUGACUGGAGGAAUGUAGCUUCGAUCUCGUAUUGAAGUGUUAUAGCCUUUGGUAGAUGUGAUGUUUGAGACCGAGGAUUGCAACGGAUACCCUUCAGGGCUAUUCGUCUGAUCUCUGAUACGUUGCCUUGAUGUUGAAAGCUUGCUUCUGUUUUAGGGUAUUACGGUCAAAAGGUUAGAAGCGAAUUAACAUUCGUUAAGGAUGUUGACGUA